GUAGUCUCCCGCGCCGCCGUCCACUGCGCGCUUCGCUCUCCGCCGCCCGAGGCCCGCGCGCUCGCCAUGUCCCGGCCACCGCCACCGCGGGUCGCUUCGGUGCUGGGCACCAUGGAGAUGGGGCGCCGAAUGGACGCGCCCGCCAGCGCCGCGGCCGUGCGCGCCUUUCUGGAGCGCGGCCACACCGAACUGGACACGGCCUUCAUGUACAGCGACGGCCAGUCCGAGACCAUCCUGGGCGGCCUGGGGCUCGGGCUGGGCGGUGGCGACUGCAGAGUGAAAAUUGCCACCAAGGCCAACCCUUGGGAUGGAAAAUCACUAAAGCCUGACAGUGUCCGGUCCCAGCUGGAGACGUCAUUGAAGAGGCUGCAGUGUCCCCGAGUGGACCUCUUCUACCUACACGCACCUGACCACGGCACCCCAGUGGAAGAGACGCUGCAUGCCUGCCACCAGCUGCACCAGGAGGGCAAGUUCGUGGAGCUUGGCCUCUCCAACUAUGCUAGCUGGGAAGUGGCCGAGAUCUGUACCCUCUGCAAGAGCAAUGGCUGGAUCCUGCCCACUGUGUACCAGGUGAGGGCCGGGGCUGCAGAGGCCAAGGUCUCCAGGACUCCUGCUCAUCCUGGGCUCUCUUUGCCCCCCUGACUGCCCCCUGUGCCCUCUGCAUAGCAGCCACUCCCCUGCUGAAAGCCUGCAGAUGGCUCCCAUGUACCCUGAGGAUGCCAUUCAAGCUCCUCAGCCUGGCCACUGGGCAUCUGCUUCCUUCCUGCCUGACUGUGCACCUUGGACCCUCCCUUCCCCACCUCCUUUCAUACUUCAGCCUGGAACACAUUUCCCCUGCCCUCCUCCCUGGGAGAAGCACUCAGGCCUUACAUAGAGGUCUCCUCCUCUGGAAGCCUUUCUAGACAGCCCCACAGGAGUCUCCAGUCUCCAAAUCUCAUCUUCAUACAUUCAGCGAGUACUUUCCAGCUCCUUGUUUGAUUGUAGAACCU
rnacentral:sRNA from 1 species